UUGGAGGGGUAAUGGCCCACCAAGGCGACGAUCAGUAGCCGGUCUGAGAGGAUGAACGGCCACAUUGGAACUGAGACACGGCCCAGACUCCUACGGGAGGCAGCAGUGGGGAAUCUUCCACAAUGGGCGCAAGCCUGAUGGAGCAACGCCGCGUGAGUGAAGAAGGUCUUCGGAUCGUAAAACUCUGUUGUUAGAGAAGAACAUGCGAGAGAGUAACUGUUCUUGUAUUGACGGUAUCUAACCAGAAAGCCACGGCUAACUAC
rnacentral:rRNA from 1 species